GCCUCGCUAGCUCAAUCAGUAGAGUGUGAGACUCUUAAUCUCAAGGUUGCUGGUUCGACUCUCGCGUGGGGCU